rnacentral:rRNA from 1 species
UACGAAGGGGGCUAGCGUUGUUCGGAAUUACUGGGCGUAAAGCGCACGUAGGCGGAUAUUUAAGUCGGGGGUGAAAUCCCGGGGCUCAACCCCGGAACUGCCUUCGAUACUGGGUAUCUUGAGUUCGGAAGAGGUGAGUGGAAUUGCGAGUGUAGAGGUGAAAUUCGAUAGAUAUUCGCAAGAACACCAGUGGCGAAGGCGGCUCACUGGCCCGGUACUGACGCUGAGGUGCGAAAGCGUGGGGAGCAAACAGGG